UCCUCCUUAGUAUAGUGGCAAGUGUCCCUGUUUUUCAUGGGGGAAACCAGGGUUCGAUUCCCUGAUGGGGAG
rnacentral:tRNA from 1 species